rnacentral:tRNA from 1 species
GCGAAAGUAGUUCAAUUGGUAGAGCGCUUCCUUGCCAAGGAAGAGGUUGCGGGUUCGAGCCCCGUCUUUCGCU